GCUGUAGCUCAGUGGGAAAGCAUCCUGUUUUGCUUGCAGAAGGUCCCAGGUUCAAUCGCUAGCAUCUCCU